GCGGGCGCCUCCCGUCCCACUCGCCUCCCCCUCCUCGUCGCCCUCCUCUCUCUCUCUCUCGCUAACCCCUCUCUCCCCCCGUGCAAGCCAGCCCCGGAUUUGGAGGAAGAGGAGAGAUGCGGGAUCUGGAGGAGGAAGAGGAGACCCGGGCGUCCCGGCGGUGGAUCGACCGAUGCCAGAUCGGGCGCAGAGGUCGCCGCCGUGGGAGGAGCAGGAAAGGGUGAGGCCUGGGCUCCACCGGCAGCGCACGCUCUUUAGGCUGGUGCUAGGCUGCAUCUUUUCCUGCCCCCGUUCUGGUGCCUCCUCCUACCCGCGUAAAUGGCGAGCAGAGGGCGUGAGUACCAGAGUUUGGAUGUGGAUGUUACUUCAGGGAGGAAGUUGGUUACAAUUUUCAUUUGUAUGAUGCAGCAGUCACAAACUAAUUUACAUAAUUUGUUGGUGUUGCGGUCUCUCCCCAUCUUAACAUUGUCUUCCGCUGCAAGGAGAGGAAAUUUGUGUAUAUCACACCUAUCAGCUACAUCCCAUGGAGAGGAAUUUUGUGUCAGGCAUUGUCAUUGGAGAAGCUUUCACAGGCAUGGCCCUUCUUUCAGUUAUAAGAUUUACAGAUAUACUGAUUCUAAAAGAUUUGAUUCACAGGUUAGUUCUAAUGGAGCGACACGUAUUGUGUUUGUGGUCUUCCAGUUUGCCUUUCUUCCAUGCAUCUGAAGGACUCAUACUUCCAUUUCCUCUUGCGAAUUCAUCCAUCCAUUCCUCUCCUUGCAGCUUUAAAUUUGUGAAAUCCAACGUAUUUAGUUAAGAGAACAUUUGCCACAUAAUUAUGCUAAUAUUCUAUGAAUAAUUGCACUUUUGUGGUUGUGCUAAUAGUAAUAGAUGACUCUUAGCGACCCUGCGCAUUCUCUAAUUUUUCGUACAUGAAAGUUUAUUAAAUGCAUGCAGUGCUUUAUCCUGAUUUGCAAGAGGAACAACAUGAAAUUCCUAUUUCACAUAAGUGAAGAAAAUCUAUAACACUGAUUGUUAUAGUUGGUGGUCCGGCGAUUCCAGUUUAUUUCUCUAAUUUGAUGUAGGAAAUGGAUUGUAAAUUGCAAGUGAGUUGGGGCUUCUGAUUGGACCUUGUGGUGGUUGGAUCUGCUGACAGAUAGGGAGAAGCAUGAUAUGUUGCUACUGCUGCACCUAUUAUUUGAUUUCUCUCAAUUUGCAAGAGGAACAACAUGAAAUUCCUAUUUCACAUAAGUGAAGAAAAUCUAUAACACUGAUUGUUAUAGUUGGUGGUCCGGUGAUUCCAGUUUAUUUCUCUAAUUUGAUGUAGGAAAUGGAUUGUAAAUUGCAAGUGAGUUGGGGCUUCUGAUUGGACCUUGUGGUGAUUGGAUCUGCUGACAGAUAGGGAGAAGCAUGAUAGGUUGCUACUGCUGCACCUAUUAUUUGAUUUCUCUCAAUGUUUCAAUCAAUUUAUCUAAAGCAUGAUUUUAAUAUGCAAUUUUAUCAGUCCGAGAUUACCUGAAUGAUUCGUGGAAAUUAGAAUGUGGGGAUCUCAAAGAAUGUUUCACAAGAAAAACAAAUAUUGGCCAUUUCCAAACUUGCUCGGUGGUCGAGGUACUAUAGAGGACAUCAGUAGAAUGAAAGCAAGAGCAACCUGACAACAUUAUUGAUAGUCAACUUCCAUUAUCAGCAGCUUCACACGUGUAUGUAUUCUUUUGUUCAUUUUCAUCUUUAUGGUAUUUUCUUACUUCCCCUUGUUGGGAUUCUUGACAGAUCAAGAAUUGUUGAUGCUGGUAUUCUUUCUUUUGGAAAUGGAAGUUGUUGUUUCUUCCCAGGUGAGCUGAGGUGAUAACUGAACUCUCUUCUUGCACUAGCAAUCCAUCUAUUUUGAUUUCAUGAUCAUGGUUCUCCCGUCAUGCUCUUAUGAUUUUAUACAUGCCAACAAGCAUCCACGCGAUUUGUUCUUUACUUCUGCACAUAUUACCAUGAUUUCCCACAAAAAUACACACGCCGCGGCAAGCCGCGGCAAUCAUGUUCUCAAGUUUUAAAGCGUAUAAGAUAAGAGCAUGUAUCUUAGUUAUUUUGGCACUGCCAUCCUUUACAUUAUAGGGUGUCUACAUAUGCAAAUUUGCAAGUUAAAUUUACCACACCUUUGAAACCUGCAGUUGUUUACUAUUCUCUUAAAUCUUUAAACUAUGUGCUCCAUUCCUUUAAUUUCAGAACUAGGAAGGUGCGGAUAAUAAGAGUUGUUGACAGAGGCAACCUGCACAUGUGUAAACAGUGGCUAUGGUGGCUCAAAGGGAAGCAGCGGCCGCUCCAUGGAAACACGCAACUUAGUGAUGUACUUUUUGUUUCUAGAUUUUGUUCACUCUCAUUAAAUUUAAACAAGAAAAUCCACUACCCUGCAAAAAGUUCUUCCAACAAAUAUUUUUGUGUGUGCAGCUAAGAUCAAUCUUCCUAUUCAUUCAUUGCACGCUGUUAUUCUGCAGGACCGGCGAAGUGCAAGGUCAUGUACAAGGGAUAAGCUGGUCAAUGAAGGAAAUUCUAAAAGAAAGCGACUACAAGCAACAUUUGAAGUGAGCUGGGAGCCGGGGUCAUCCUUCUCACCACCAGUCGAACAUACUACUUCAGCCACCAUGUUGAGCGAUAUAAAAGUGUUCAGCAACAACACGAGAUUGUGCCCCCUCUUGCUCCAGGUGCAUGUUGCUGUAAUUAGUAUCAACAGAUUAAAUCAUGAACCAUGUCUCUGUUUCAUACCACCUCUGUUCAUAAAUAGAUAGCUUCCUAGAGAUUGUGCAGUCCUAAGGCCAUCCACACUAUUGCCCGUUAAAGCGUAUUGAGUGCAUCAAGCCUAAUUUUCUAUUGGAUAGAUUUUGUUCUGUAAUCUAUUAGUGUUAGAACAAUACAAAUUUUCCUAUUUUGCAGAAACUAACUUAGUGCUUCCUUCUUUCGGGUUUGAAAUUCAGCAAUUCUUUUCCUUAAUCGCAAACUGAAUUGUUCGUCGUUGCUAUUUGGUUUCCCUUCUGUCUGGCAUAUUGAUGAUUUGAUCCGCAUUCAAGAAAGAAAUAUUCCAUGCAAGCCUCCAGCCUAAGUAAAGAAAUUUAUUUGCUUGCCAUUUGAAUAAAAAAUUUGAGCACGACAUUACAAAUGAGAAAAAAAAUAUUUGUAUGCAGAUCCACGACACUUUGCAAAAGAGUAUACAUCAACAUUGUCUACUAGAAAAAAAAACAAAGUAGUCUCGUUUAGUUCUUGCUUCAAAUUUGUCUCGCGCGCCAAAUGGCGCGACAGGUCAUCUAGUUGUAUAUAAAGGCUUCUCUAGUUCGGAUGAUUUCAGCAAGGGCCUCUUUGAUUCUCAUGAAUUAUAAACUAAGGAUUAGAGCAGCAUGUCUUUUCAAUACUACAUAAUUAGUUUGGACAAUUGAUUGUGCACAAGAAAAACAGAGGAUAUUCACAAGAGGUUAGAGUGGAUGAAAACUUUCCUAUGAAAACCAGUACAUAUGAAUUCUAAGGGGAAAAUAAUCCUAUGGAUAUGCAAGCAAGCAAACAUAAAACAAAAGAUAAACAACAUGCUUCUAAAUUGAAAGAUGCUAUGUACAACCGUGUCGAAAAUGAAUUUCCUGAACUAGACAAACUUGCUCCAAAAAGAAUUAACUAAACAAACACCAAAUAUAAGAAUCAAUCGCCGUCGCCAACGCCAAGCCAUUCCCGGAAUCCAGCGAGGAUUGCAAUCUUCCACAUG